rnacentral:lncRNA from 1 species
UGGUCGGGUCCCGGUGUGGGACCGCCUUUGUGGCUGCCGGGAACGAUCACCGCCGGUUGGAGGGGGCUCCGGGGGUACUGGCAGCCCCCCAUUCCGCCAAUUUCCUUCGGCGACAUGGCGUGACGUGCCGGGUGGCGGGGGUGCCGGUCAACGCCAUGAUCAGACUUGAAGCUACAGAGGAGGUCGUUUGCAUGCUGUCGGUGAGGAACACGGUAUGGGAGAGCAGAAGAGGGGCCCACAGCAUGGGUGGGGUAGCGUCACUGUACCUGCACUGUUCAGGUCAAAUGGGAAAGGGGGCUGUCACCUUUCCCUCGAG